UACGUAGGUGGCGAGCGUUGUCCGGAUUUACUGGGCGUAAAGAGCGCGCAGGCGGUCGUUCAAGUCGCGUGUGAAAGCCCCCGGCUCAACUGGGGAGGGUCACGCGAUACUGAUCGACUCGAAGGCAGGGAGAGGGAAGUGGAAUUCCCGGUGUAGUGGUGAAAUGCGUAGAUAUCGGGAGGAACACCAGUGGCGAAGGCGACUUCCUGGCCUGUUCUUGAC
rnacentral:rRNA from 1 species